AGUGGCCAGUUCAGCAUGGCAAAGCAGUGAAAGGGGUCAAGUGACUGGUAUCUGUGGGGAUGGAAAACCCUGACAGUGAGAUCUGCAGCCAAGCUUGUUGCUCCAAGGUGUGCUGAGGAAGUUGGAAAGAGGCUCAGACUCAAGUACUGAGGAGGGAGAGUUGAUACUGCAGCCUGAUCAAGGCUCAAGAGAAGGUCGGCCUGCCAACCUGCUCCCUCUCCAGCCAGAAUAGCCCUCCUCAACUGCGAAAGCCAAGGCAAGCUCAUCCCUGCCUGUCUGCGAGAUGCCUUCUGUGCCUCUUGAAAAUGCAUUUUUGGUUGUCCUCGUGAAAAAAAGAAAAAAAAGGUUUGCAUAAUAAAGUCAAUUCUGAGG